ensembl:lncRNA novel transcript, antisense to TMEM198
CGCAGAGCAGCCCGAUGCCCAGAGCGAUGCCCGCGCUCGCCCCAGCACUCAGCUGUGUCUCUAGCACCCGCUCUCGGUAGCAGAGGAGGAAGAUGACCACCGAGCCAAACAGCAACCCAGUGAGAAAGAGCACUGCCUUGAAGCAGCGGUAACCUGGAGGGGAACAGGGGCUAGUGAGGGGCCAAGAUGAGGGCACCAGGCUGGAGGGAGCAGGUCCAAGGGGUCAAGGACAUGGGAUCCCAGGGGAACCAGAGACAAAGACACUAAGAUCAGAGAAUUGAGGGUCACUGGAGUCAUGACGGCAUCAGUGAUGGGGCCAUUGAGGUCAGGGGAGGUUAGAGAGAUAUGGCUGUUGGUGGUCAAUGGGAAGGCAAACAUAACCAUUGAGAUCAUGAGGGUUGAUGUAUUUGAGGAUCACAGGAGUUAGGAUAAAUCUUUUGAGUCAAGA